AACGAACGCUGGCGGCAGGCCUAACACAUGCAAGUCGAGCGAAAUCUUCGGGUGCAGUGGCGGACGGGUUUGUAACCCGCCGGAAUAUGCCUUUUGGUACGGAAUAGCCUCGGGAAAUUGGGAGUAAUACGGUAUGUGUCCUCUUGGGGAAAGAUUGAUCGCCAAGAGAUUAUACAGCGUUGGAUUAGGUUGUUGCUGGGGUAAUAGCCUACUAAGCGGACGAUUCAUAACUGGUUUGAGAGGCUGAUCCGCCACACUGAGACUGAGACACGGCCCAGACUCAUACGGACUGCAGCAGAGGCGAAUCUUAGACGCUGGCGUCAGCACUGAUCGAGCCAUGCCGCGUGAGUGAUGAAGGUCUUGGGGUUGUAAAGCUAUUUCAGCUAGGAAGAUAAUGACGGUACCUACAUAGAAAGCCACGGCUAACUCCGUG
rnacentral:rRNA from 1 species